rnacentral:rRNA from 1 species
GAUGAACGCUGGCGGCAGGCUUAACACAUGCAAGUCGAGCGAGCGGCGGACGUGUGAGUAAUGUCUGGGAAACUGCCUGAUGGAGGGGGAUACCUACUGGAAACGGUAGCUAAUACCGCAUACCAUCAGCUGUGCCCAGAUGGGAUUAGCUAGUAGGUGGGGUAAUGGGCCACCUAGGCGCCGAUCCAUAGCUGGUCUGAGAGGAUGACCGGCCACAGUGGAACUGAGACACGGUCCAGACUCCUACGGGAGGCAGCAGGGGGGAAUAUUGCACAAUGGGCGCAAGCCGGAUGGAGCCAUGCCGCGUGUGUGAAGAAGGCCUUCGGGUUGUAAAGCACUUUCAGAGAGGAGGCGGUACUCGCAGAAGAAGCACCGGUUAACUACGUGCCAGCAGCCGCGGUAAUUC